UGUAUAUAUAGGUGCUGAGGCGUGGCGGAAUGGCAAUCAUUCCCUUUCUGUGUAUAUGUAGGUUUGCCGGACUGCCGCGCACGGAGCGCCUUGCGAAUCCGGGAAGAUGAUGCCACCCAACCGCCGCCGCCUCCUUGCUCGGCUUCUUGCCAUCCUCACGUUAUUGCUGCUAAUCGUCGGUGGCCAUGCAGGCCGUGGUGGAAGGUUUGUUCCACGUCCACCUGCAAACUGCGAUGCUCGUCAGGACCCAGCCGGCUGCUCACGUUUGCCCUCUCCGAACUGUCCAGGAUGUGGAUAGCAGCAGGGCUCACUACCAACCCAAGCAUAUGUUAUGUCGUCGAGACGUCGACGAUGGUCUUUUAGUAUGUCUUGUGCUAUAUUUGUCGUGUUAUAAUAGAGAUUUAUCAAGGCCACAAUCAUUUACGUACAACAUGUUAAGGAAAACAAGCAUAGCUGAAAAUAUAAGACAGGUGAUGGGCUUCCGGCUUCUGGCUUCGAGGAUGUUUCCCCUUCGAGGAUCCUAUGCGGCCAACCCUGGCAUAUUUCCCCUUCGUCGUUCACCUUGGAAAUCAAAGCUGCCUGCUAUGUGCUUGUGAUUCGUUGUUUGGCAUAGGUCGGCAUGUGCUUUAGGCGGCUGUUUCGGUGGUGACCCCGUGGAUGAUAUGAUGAAGUGAAGUCGGAGUCGCUUGCUCGGGGAAAAGUGAUAACGAUGACUCUUGCGGACUGCCUCGACGAUGAUCAUCCUCUUGGCAAUGUAAUGUGUUGGUAGCCAGGCCGGCGGGUGUCCUAUGAAUGGGGCGUGUUGUUACGACUUUAUGUAGAUUAACCGAGCAACUAUUGUUUUUAAUUAACCGGCGGGUGCCCUUUGUGGCCGGACCUUGGCAAACUUGUUUUCAUAAACGAGAACGCG